rnacentral:rRNA from 1 species
GACGAACGCUGGCGGCGUGCUUAACACAUGCAAGUCGAACGAUGAAGCUGGAGCUUGCUCUGGCGGAUUAGUGGCGAACGGGUGAGUAACACGUGAGAAAUCUGCCCUUGACUCUGGGAUAACUGCGGGAAACUGUAGCUAAUACCGGAUACUUUCCCUGGUGGGCAUCCACUGGGGAAGAAAGAAUUUCGGUCAAGGAUGAUCUCGCGGCCUAUCAGCUCGUUGGUGAGGUAAUGGCUCACCAAGGCGACGACGGGUAGCCGGCCUGAGAGGGUGACCGGCCACACUGGGACGGAGACACGGCCCAGACUCCUACGGGAGGCAGCAGUGGGGAAUAUUGCACAAUGGGCGCAAGCCUGAUGCAGCAACGCCGCGUGAGGGAUGAAGGCCUUCGGGUUGUAAACCUCUUUUAGCAGGGAAGAAGCGAAAGUGACGGUACCUGCAGAAAAAGCACCGGCUAACUACGUGCCAGCCGCCGCGGUAA